rnacentral:rRNA from 1 species
UACGAAAGGGGGACUAGCGUUGUUCGGAAUUACUGGGCGUAAAAGCGCGCGUAGGCGGAUCGCUAAGUCAGGGGGUGAAAUCCCAGGGCUCAACCCUGGAACUGCCUUUUGAUACUGGCGAUCUGGAGAUCGGGAGAGGUUGGUGGAAUUCCGAGUGUAGAGGUGAAAUUCGUAGAUAUUCGGAGGAACACCAAGAAAACGAAGGCGGCCAAACUG